rnacentral:rRNA from 1 species
CGGAUCAGAAUGCCGCGGUGAAUACGUUCCCGGGUCUUGUACACACCGCCCGUCACACCAUGGGAGUCGGAAAUGCCCGAAGUCAGUGACCCAACCAUACGGAGGGAGCUGCCGAAGGCAGGUCCGGUAACUGGGGUGAAGUCGUAACAAGGUAGC